rnacentral:sRNA from 1 species
UCUUGCCUCCAGGUUUCUGCCCUGUUUGAGUUCCUGCCCUAACUUCCCUCAGUGAUGGUGUGACUUGGGGAUUGCAAAGUGAAAUAAACUUGUUCCCCUUCGGGUUGGUUUCGGUUGUGUUUAUUAAUAGAUACCCUGACUAAGACACCCUCCCAAGCCCUCCCAUCCCUCUCGUGAGCCAGUCCUUCGUAGGCCACAGGCGAUUCACCACCUCUCACUUUCAGGCUUCAAGAAAGGCCUUCCAGAGAGAGAGAGAGAGAGAGAGAGAGAGAGAGAGAGAGAGAGAGAGAGAGAGCGAGCAGUCAGCCACGCUGGCUUGUGCAGCUUGCUUGUUCUUUCUCAUACUCCACACCCCCGAUCUAAGAUAAGGAAGCGACUUGAUUUAUCCACCCUACCACUGGCAAGGUAAUAAUUAUGAUUGCUUUUACAGUUAUUCCGAAUGUAACUGCGCCUCUCACUGGGUAUCCAGGAUCCCCUGGGAAGGAAUUUUGGCAGAGUCCAAGGGCAUGUUGGAAAGAAGAGAAUUCUGGCAGCUGCCUUCAGGUUUCAACUUUCAGAGGCUUGUGGCAGGUUUCACUUGUUUACAUACACCUAGCUCUAAGGCCAGAUCAUGUGAGCAAGGAAAGCCGUUCAGACUGCUCUGUUUUGUACAAAGUUACCAGGCACGGAGAACCUUCUAUCUGUUCCAAGGGCCUCUUGCACCACGAAGGGUUUGUUAUGAGGAGCAAAUGCUACCUGAUAGGAGAGGGGAGGAGAGUCACUUCCCUUCUGUGUUUUCGUUAGGCUUGCCAGAGAAAGGAAUCUUGAGAAGCUGUGCUGGACACACGGGAUGCAAGAGGAAUUUUCAUAUUCUGCUGGAGGCCUAAAAAAGCAAUCUGCUCCCGAAACUCCGAGGGCGCUCCUUGCAAAACUUUUGGAGAAACGGUCCAAGCACAAUUACAAAGACUGAGCAAAGGACAACACCUGCCAAGUGAAUCAGGGGACAUCACUGCCGAACCAACCAUCAGGAAGAGUCCAGCUCGCUUGUGCUAAGGUCUUAAUUCCCAGGCAUACUGCAGUGACCCGAGGACAAGGAGCAAACACAAGAGGAGUCACAUGAAUGCUUUCAAAAUGUCGACGUGACCUUGAAAGACACUGAGCUAUCCUAGGAAGGGGACUGGAUGCAUAGCUACAGGGGGGAGCGUCCAAGGGAAGGAAGGCUUUGGGAAGGGCAGGCCUUGGGGUGGCACAACUCUAACACCAGUUUGUAUGCUGGGGGGGUCUCAGGCUGUGUCUGUUCUAGAACCAGUAGAAUGGGGAACAGGAUUCCGAAGUUCUCACCAUACUAGCUAAAGCACAAGAGUGAAAAUCCGUGUGGUUGUCCCUUGGUGUUCACAAGGCUUUCAUUCAGAACACCUUCCCUUCAGAUGUUCAUGUCCCUUAUGCAAAAUGGCACAUAAUUGCUCAUAACCAAUGCAGAUCCUCCUGAAGGCCUUAAAUAGUAACCAGCACAUUAUAAAGGCCGUGUGGAUAAUUAUAAUUAUAAUUAUAUGGUAUUGUUUAGGAAAUAAUGACAAGAAAGUUCUGCAUAAGCUUAGCACACAUAUACCUAUUUUUCUGAGGGUUGUUUUUCUUUUUCUGUUGCUGUUUAUUCACAUUUAUUUCUCAAGAGAGGGAGACGCGUGGCCAUGCCACAGUGCACAGUAUGGAGGUGAGAAGGCAACUUGCAGAAGCUCGUUUUCUCCUCCCUCCAUGUAGGUCCCAGAGAUCAAACUCAGGUUGCAGGCUUGGUGGCAGCAGGAGGCUUUACCAGCCGGGCCACUUGGCUGGCCCUUUGUGAAUACCUUUUGAAAAUUGUUUUAUUUUCCCAUUAUUAUGCAUGCGUAUGUCAAGUGUGGAAAGGAACCAGAAGAAGGCAUCAGAUCCCCUGGGGCUCAGGUUACAGGUGAGCGGCCAGACACAAAAGCUGGGAACCAAACUCUGGUCCUCUGCAAGAGCAGUGGCUGCCAACUUUCCUGCCCCACUUUUGGAAUACCUUUAAUCCACUGGCAAAUCCACAGAUUUGGAACCUGAAGGUACAAAAAUUGACUGUACUGUGUUGACCUUUGCACCGCAGCCCAGUGGAGUAGUUUAUUUUAGCUCAUGUUUUUAUCGCUGACUUAAAUGGUGCUGGUUAAGGCUAGCGCAAGGCUGCCGUUAAGCGGUCACCGAAGCUGUAAUCUGAACGGGGUCUGGAGGAAGAUGGGCGAGUUCACUGGGAGCGGGGCUAGAGCAAGGGCAAGGGCAGAAGGCGCUAAUGGAGGCAAGGCUCCUGGCAGCACUCCACACUAGCCAGUGCGCUUCUCUUUCCUACUUGGCUCUCUGACCGGUGUUCUGAUCAUUCAGGGACAGGAUGAACCAGUGCAUAUCAGUAACAUCACCAACAGUUCUCCUACAUGCCCCGAGAUAGCAAGAACAGAUGGAUCGAGGGCAGACUCACCAGUAUCCAGAGAAACACAACUUCCAAAGCAUAGUUCAUAUCUAUGUGACUGCCUCUCGAGGGAAGAGCACUGGAGGCCAGGGAGUACAAACAAGGUGUCCCUCAUAAUGGACUUGAUAACAGACACAGGGGAUCCUCCCUGGGCAUCGGCAAGUCCAAGAAAGAUUUAGCUCUUAGGUGUGAGGGGCGUUAGGACCCAGCCCCCAGCCCUGAGGCAGUAGUGCUGAGAAAUGUGGCUUGGGAAGGACUUCUCCCCUCUCUGUAAUUUCACAGUUUCAUUCAGAGAAAUCGAGCAACAAAGACCAGGCAGCUAAGUCUGCAAUUCUUUGCUCUUAAAACCUUCAUAACCACUGGUAGUUGGAGGACAGGAAUAAGAUCGCAACUUUGUAGCUUGAAGACGGCCGGUCUUCUGGGAACGGAACUGAUAGGUAAACUCAGUCAUGCACUGCUUAACGACUGGGGAGAUCCGGUCACCGGGAGAUCCGGUCACCGUGUGAGCACCCAGUGCACGACACAAACCUAGAGGCUGUGGGUGGGCCACUUGACCUGGCCUUCUGCUGUAAUAAGGGACAUGGUAAAGACAAGAUGAGAGAAGCUGCUACCUGUGAGACCUGUGCCAGGCAAGGGCUGAUGCAACACAAGGGAUGCUUUUUUAAAUACGCAGUGGAGUAGACUCCAAAGAACAAUAAAAAUGUAUAGCAUGAA